GAAGAGACCAUGGUAAAGAUGAGCUGACGGCCUCUGUGGGAACAAAGACAGGGAAAGGGGAAAUGAGUUCACCAGAAACCAACAGGCAGCACAGGAGGUGGUAAACCCGAAAAAGAAAAUGAAGAAAAAGAAAUACGUGAAUUCUGGCACAGUCACCCUGCUUUCCUUUGCUGUGGAGUCAGAGUGCACCUUCCUUGACUACAUCAAAGGAGGGGUAUCAGUUUCCUCCUCUGUACACAAAGAGAAUGGAGUAGGACCCAGAUCAACUUCACUGUGGCCAUUGAUUUCACUGCCUCCAAUGGGAACCCCUCACAGUCCACAUCCCUGCACUACAUGAGCCCCUACCAGCUGAACGCCUACGCGCUGGCGCUGACUGCCGUCGGAGAGAUCAUCCAGCACUACGACAGUGACAAGAUGUUCCCUGCCCUGGGCUUCGGGGCCAAGCUGCCCCCGGAUGGCAGGGUGUCCCACGAGUUCCCGCUGAAUGGCAACCAGGAGAACCCCUCGUGCUGCGGCAUCGACGGCAUCCUGGAGGCCUACCACCGCAGCCUGCGCACCGUGCAGCUGUACGGCCCCACCAACUUUGCCCCUGUGGUCACCCACGUGGCCAGGAAUGCAGCGGCCGUGCAGGACGGCUCCCAGUACUCUGUGCUGCUCAUCAUCACUGACGGGGUCAUCUCAGACAUGGCGCAGACCAAGGAGGCCAUUGUCAAUGCUGCCAAGCUCCCCAUGUCCAUCAUUAUCGUCGGCGUGGGCCAGGCGGAGUUCGACGCCAUGGUGGAGCUGGAUGGCGACGACGUGCGGAUCUCCUCCCGGGGGAAGCUGGCUGAACGCGACAUCGUCCAGUUUGUGCCCUUCCGAGACUAUGUGGACCGCACAGGCAACCACGUGCUGAGCAUGGCCCGCCUGGCCCGAGACGUGCUGGCAGAGAUCCCCGACCAACUGGUGUCCUACAUGAAGGCACAGGGCAUUCGCCCGCGUCCCCCACCCGCAGCACCAACCCACUCGCCCUCGCAGUCCCCAGCCCGCACGCCCCCUGCAUCCCCCCUGCACACGCACAUCUGAACAUGGUCUCAGCAGGCAGGUGGCUGGGGCCUGGGAGAGGCCAGGCAAACAGGAGGCCAGGGCCCCAGACUCCCUGAAGUGGGCCUGCCCGGCCUUUGGGACAUCUGUGUGCCUGGGAGGCUGCCGGGGGUGGGGCUUCUGAAGACCCCUCCUCAAUUUCUUGGCCUCACUUAUUGCCCAAACCCAGGGAGUUAGGGGGGUACCGGUGAAAGAGAGAUACACAGGGACCCAGCCCUUCUCUUCUUCCCCAAUACCUGGCUUUAACCCCGCCAGGAAGGUGUAAACAAUAAGGGUGAUUGGGGUCCCUGUUGCCCACCCCCGGCAAUCCUAUUUGCUUACCUGUCACCCUGAAGCCUGGGCUUGGCCUCCUCCAGCCCUCCAUCUCCGUCCCAUCCCCCCAUGGUGUCUACUCCUGUCACUGAGCCCCGCCCUGUGGUCUAUUCUGAGCCCGAUUUCCAGGGAACCCCAUGAAGCUGAUGGGUUUGCAGGAAGGCCUGAACAUGUGCGCCCUCCUGGGGACACUGGAUGCACUGGGAGCCCCCGGGGACCCAUGGGGUGCUGUAAUCAUGGACUGUAGGCCAUGUGAUGGGCCUGAAGUGGAGGCUGCUCAGCACAGAGCCCUUUCUGGUGCCUCUCGAGCUCGGUACGAUGCAAGUUCUAGACACACAGAUGGCCUGUGGAGGCCUCUCCCUGGUGUGGGCCCACAGGUACUUCCAUGGUUGGCUCCUGGCUUCAGGGAUCCCCUCCUCCCUCCAGAGGCUUCCCAGGGCCCUCGGUGCCCACGCCUCUGCCCACCUGGAGGCCUGAGUAAGGAGUGGCUCAGCCCCACGUUCCCACACUGCUCCUGCUCUUUGCCCCGUAUCCCAUGAGGCUAGGAGACAGGAGUCCUGGGUUUGAGCCCUGCCUCCCCCCACUGCCUAAUGUGGGAACCUAAGCAAGGCCCUUCUACCUUUUGGGCCUCAGUUUCCGUGUCUGUAUGACAAGAGGGUUGACCAGAUGGCCCCAGGUUUUCCUUUAGGUCUGACGUCCUGAGGGUCAUUCAUCCCAUGCCCAGCUCCCCCCAUCCUACUCCUAACCGAUGUGACCCUACUCGAGGCCGCCUUGGCUUUUGGGUCACCCUGUCCCAUCCCAUCACCCCAAACACACCCUAGUCCUUCAGCCUUGGGCUCUGGCAUCUGAGCCCGAGCUCCUGCCCCUGCUGUGGGAAAGGUGGGGAAGAAGGGGAUCUCCCUCCUGGGCCCAGCCAGCCACCCAGCCUUUGCCCACUCGGGGAGCAGGUCAUGCAUGCCUGUCCCUGUUGCCGCAUGGAGCUCCUCAGCCCACUGACCUCUCCGUGCCUGGUGCAGGCCAGGCCCCCAUCUUCUGCCUGCCUCCGCUUCCCCGUCAUGCAUGGUGGUGGUGUUUCUACGGUGUCUGGUUCUGUGCCCGUCUCUGAGACAGUCUCUGUGUGGAAUUUGCCUUAAACUGAAGUAAAUUUGGUUCUUUUAGUAAA
rnacentral:sRNA from 1 species